GCACUCAAAAGCAUUUGCAAGGGGAAUCCCAAACCGUUAGGACACAAACUCGUGCUGGGUUCUAUUACGGCCUUGCAGGUAGGACGUUGCUGUGUUUUAGAGUAUCCUGAAAAUUUCAACAGGGAUAUAGGGGGAAAAAAAUAAAUCAUUGUUCUGUGUUUGGAAACUAAGCUGUGUUCUAUGUAGUAAGCACCCAUCUUAACCCUGCUGGAGCAGAACAACACCCCUUUUCUAGCAGAAACCAGAGUUGUUGUUAAUUAAUGUCUUGCUGAAAACUAAGUCUUUGCCAUCUGUUCCGCCCCCUCACUACGAAUGCCACUCUCAUUAUGUUGAUUAUGUAAUUAAAAAUGAAAAUAUAUUUUGGUAGAGUGCUGCAUAGGCAUCUGUGCUGAUUCUUCUGUUCCUAUUCACUGCCCCCUGCCCCCCAGCCCAUACAAAAAGGAAAAGACAACAAUUGUUUGGCUCGCCAGGAGCUUUAUGCUGAAGCUGUGGCACUGGCUGCCAGACUGGUGCACGUCAUGGGAGCAGCCACUUGAACCCUGCUGUGUUUGAGCUGCGUGUCCUUCAGAAACCCUGGUUAUUAGGUUCAUGAGAAAUCCGUGGCAGGAAGCUGCCCCUUAAACUGAAGCGGCUUUAAGUUCUUGUGAUGGGUUAACUUGAAUCCAGAUCAAGAAAAGUGAAAAAGAAAAGAGGCCUGGCUACUUUAUAAGUGAUAGCGUGACCUCCGAGAUGAGCGAGGCUGCUCGUUUUACAAAUAUGGCCUAUGUCUAAGGGUGGAGGAAGAGAAAAAGAGGAGGGGUAGCUUUCCUGUAAGCGGGUUAGAGCAAUUACUGAGGUCUCUUACAGCAAAUGAAGUUGUCAGUGUGAGUCACAUUCCCUUUUUUCCCUCUCCCUGCCAAGUUUUAAGCAGUAACCAGACAGAGAGGGAAAAAAAAGGGAAAAGUAACAAUGGAGAAAAGUUGAACUGAAACAACCCUUCAUUCAGGGUAUUGUUUGACAUUUUAGUUCUGAUUGUACAUAGAGAUAAAGGGUCUAUAAAUAUCCUGUCUGCUGAAAUUCCUUAUCACAACAUCGCCUGUCAGCUGAACAAAUAGGUUAGGUUCUCCAAAUACUACCUAAUUACAUAUGUAAAUACAAAAUUACUGAUUAUAUCCCUGCACCACGUGGAAUGAAGGCCUGCUCACUGGAAGGGACGUUAACCUUGUCUGUCUUACUGGGAGAUGCCCCAGCCUCAGGAGAGCAAACGGCACAUACAGCUGUUGCUGCUGAAUUGGUGCAAGCUCCAAGACCAGACUGAGCGAAGCAACAAGAUAUUUAUCUGGCUAACGAGACUAGAUGAAAGCAUCUUCUGAUGCUUUUGAAAGUAUCUUAGCAUUUAGUUCUGUUUAACAAAUGGCUGGAAGCUUUUCUACUCUGCUUUAGAGCUUUUAAUGAAGCAUUGUGAUUCCCAUUGUGGUUGAUUGUUUGACACUCUUAUUAUUACUGGUAUGCAUAGCGUUUUUUAAUGUUUGACAGCUGGAGAAAGAAGUAUUUUGUGCAUUCAAACUUUUAGUACAAAGCUGCUGUUUUCCAUUCUGCCUUUGCCUUUGUCUUUUAUUCUUGCUGAUGCAAAUCAACGAAAGACAGAACUGAUGAAAUUACGUUUGUUUACUUUUUACUUGAUAAUAAGACACAGCCAGCCUUUUAUAAAAGACAGAAAUAGGGGAUGUGAAUGUUUCUACAGUAUUUCUAGAAAUGUUUUUUUUUUUCUUACAAUAUAAAGGCAUUUAUUUGUUUCAUGUGUCUUGAUUUAUAAGAUAAUGUGCACUUCCUAAUGCAUGUGGAAUAAGAAUGGAGCAAUGAAUGACGGUUAGCAAUGGAUUCCAUUUGAAAAGCUCAUAGCUUGUUGUUUUUCUUAAUUCAACAGUAUAAAUGAUCAUAGCACAUCACAAGAUAAACACACUAAGAUACCUCUGUCCUUCACAGUAGGACUGCCUCUGAUCGUUAUUGCGUAUUUGUUAUAUAGCUAUACAAAAAUCCACCCCAUCAGCUUUGGCUUUACACACAUGUAAUUGUUACUGGCUUUGAUACAUUUGUAUGAUACUGGAAAGAAACAAUCACUGAGAGGCAGGGCUGCAGAAAUCAGAUACCCAUGGUUGUUUUGGCGAUGCCUCACUAAAAAGGGCAUGAAAUGAGCAUGGUCUGAUCAAGAAAGAUGCCCGGACAGGUGAAGGGAGGCAAUCCAGCAAUGCCAGUCCACACAGCAGAGAAGGGAAUGAACUGCUGCGGGACUGCAGGAGCCCAGGAGAGUGUUGUCAUGGGUAAGGGUAGUGGGAGAGGAACCAAGAAGGAAACAGGAUGUGUUCAGAAUGACUGCAGAAUGCUGCUGCAACGAGCAAGCACAGAGACAGCGCUGGAAUACGGAGCCAUGGUCCCAUCUUGCUAAUCCAGCUCUCAAAGGGUUUUUCUAAUGUAUCCACGUAGCAGGCCUGGAAGGGGGAGUCCUGUUUAUCUCCAUUAUUUAGGUAUACAUUUCUCCAAAUUGGGAUUUGAUAAGAGGACAGCUGCUGCAUUUUUAUUAUUUGAGACAAGCGGCAGUAAAAGCUGUUCAGAGCUCACGAUGGAAAUGUAUCCGCAUAUUGGCACUUAUCCAGCUGCACUUCACAAAGGUAAAUGGGAUGUGAGAGUGGUAUGCUGCCCCCUUUUAAUCCAUUUUCUAUAGAAGGGGGUACUUUGCUUCUCUGCGGGAAAGGCCAGCACAGCUACUGUGCUAAUAAACGCUCAUUUCUCACUGCAGCAUAUGGGCUUCCCAGACUCAUAAAUCCAGGCAAUUUGUAGUUGAAUUACAAUUAAAUAUCCACACACAUUUCCAUACCAUGGUCUGGUGCACAAGGCAUAGGCCUAAGUGGCUGGACAUCUGCUGUCUGCUCUCCCAUACGUAGUGUUUGGCAGAACAUAAUUGCUUAAUUUUACUCUACCUCCAUUAACAGUACCUGUAAAAUAGGAUGCAGAGCAUCAUCCUACAGAUGUUUUGGCGUAUUCUUCAAGAAGAGUAGCACUUUCUUUCUUCCUCUUUUUUUCUUCCAUUUAAAAAAAAUAAAUAUAUUUUUAAGCACCUCUUAUUGUCAAAUAAUCAGAAAUACUUUUCAAUGCUGUUGAUCAUUCAGUCAAAGGAUUUCCAGGUCAGGCGUUCAGUUUGGCUCUAAUGACAGUGGGAAAUGAGACAUCAUAUUAAAAACUUAGUUGAGAUGCAGGACACUCAUAGAUCCUCUCAACAAUUUAGUGUCAUUUGUACAAGACCCAGAGACUCAGUAAUGCAAUAAGAUAAAUGUAGUGCUUGAUUACAAUGGAUGUAUUGCACUUAAAAAGGCAUUUUAUUGUUAGGCUCUGCAUAUCUAAAGUAAUAACCACUGUAUGUCAGGCAAGACAAUGGUAAAGUAAGCCAGAUAAUUUUCCCAUUGUUAAAACUUUCAAAAUCCAAAAAGCUAUAAAUGUCUUAAUUACGUUCAAUUUAGCUAGAUCUAGUGCUGGUGGCUGGAGGGAACAUCUUUCUGAGGUUCAGUCUUUCCCCUGGUCUAACUGAUAACAUUUAAAACUCUGCCACUUACACUGUUACAGCUAUUUAAAGAAGAAUUAUAUGUAGUCAUUACCCAUCUUGAGUUUCCUUGCAGCAGGGUUAACAUAUGAAACUGCAGUUUAGUUGUUCUCCUUUGUCCCAGGAAGCUUGAACAAAGAUAAAGAGUCUGCCCAGAGCUCAACCAGCAUCCUUCAGUGCUGAAGCUCUGUGAGGCCAAGGGCUGUCUUCUGCACUGUUGUAUAGUUACCUAACAAAAUGCUUAUUCCCUGUGGAUUUGGGAGAAACUUUGAAUUUUGCCCCCUUGACUCCAACCCCAUGUGUCUGUCAGCUUCCGACUAAGUUCUAGCCACGAUCACAAGAACAUCCUAAAUCAGUCUCAGUAGUUUGUAUUUCCUUACCAAAGAUCUUAUCUGCUGUGGGUGCAAGUUGCACCAUAGUGCUGGUGUUCAAAAUUUUUCACCCUUCUGUUUCACAGCUCUGCCUUUUCAGUCUAGGUUAAUUUAUCUAGAAGAAUUGAGACAAAGCUGUCCAGUGAGAAAGGCCGUGCAGCGAGACAGCAGUGCUCUGAGCAUCUGCACAAUUUGUAUAUUUGAUUCGGUACCUCCGCACUUGCAGGUUAUUGUUGGUCCUACUUUUGCCGUUUUCUUAUAAGGCUCUGUGCUGCAUCAGUGUGGAUGUUCAUUCUCUGUAUACCUAUGUUCUUCACAAAAUGACAAAUGCUGAUAGUAAAAAUUACAUUUGCUCAUUAAAAGAUAUCGCUACUUAUAUAUCACAGAUAUAUAUCUGUGUAUAUAUAUAUGCUGGGGUCCAGUGACCUAAUGAGAGGUGUGGCUUGGAUUUCAGUGGGACAUGAGCUGGGCGUCGAAAUCUGCUUCUCACAUGAGUAUUCCCCUGAUACAUAUCAUGAAAACCUUCUUCUGUUUAUAAUGACAGAUGCCACAGGGGGUUAUAUAUUUGGAUAUAUAUAUAUUUUUUUUCGUAGUGUUUAUUAUCAAAUGCUUGCAAGUUCUAUGAUGUGGUAAAAACUCUCUCUCUGGAUAAACAGGAAGCACUCAGAGGUAUUGCAUUACCCACGUAACGCAACACAGAUUCCAACAGCUUGGCUCUUUUUUUCAACAUACUGUGACACCACUUCCUUCAGGAAAUCUCUUGUCUGCAGAGCUCAUUUCUGCUAUAGAUAUGCAAAACUGCAAUAAUUGGUUGUUUUAAAAACGCAUGUUGAUUUGCCAGUUUCAGACUGUGGAAACUGAUGUUUAAUUGAUAUAAUGUCUUUAAAAAUAUGCAAUGCAGACUCUUAGGGCUCUUAGGUCAGUGGGCUGACCAAAGUGCAAGGAGCAGUGACUGACACCAUCCCUCCCACAGGUGCACUGGUGCAGCUUAGAGAGCAACGAUGCAGAUUUUCCCUGCAGGAACCUGAAAUGUGUCUCAGCUGUAAAUCUGGAGGAGCCUCUUCUGCAGUCCUGCCACACAGUGUCAGCAAGGCCUGGGUCUGCCCUGUACAGGGUGAACGGCAGUCCUGGUUCCAGUCAGGUCUUAUCUGCCAAGGCUAGCAACAAAAAAAACUAAGUAUGUCUGUUCAUAUGUGGACACCUGUAUUCAGAAUAGCUGUGCCAAGGCAGCGUGAUGGAUCAGUAUUGGCUGAAUUUUGAACCCCAGUGGCGUUUAUGUGGAAAUCUCAGAAUGCCGUAAGUGUACUGUUUCCUGUGUCUUGUUUCUGUUCAGCCAGUGCCCAUCGCUUAGACUAAGCGUGACAACAGCAGACAGUUGGAAUUAUAUUUGUGCCACCACAAAAUCCUUAGAUACGUGUUUGUAACAAACCACCCAAAGUGACAACAUCACUUUAAAGGAAGUCCUAGUAAGGUCUUGUUUGAAGGUUUAGUAUCAUUUCCCAGACUGGUUCUCAGUGAAGGGACUUCUGUGUCUGCCAAGUGCUUUAUUUGCACAAGCCAGAUGCAAUUGGGUGUAGAUAUCAGGACUGAUGCUUUCUCCUCUGCCCUCAGCUAUAAGCAAGAAAUACUGAAAACAGAGUUGCUGCAAUAUCUAGACAGCAUAAAACCUCAGUGAUCCUGUUUCUACGUUCUUUAACUUCCUCCUUUGUUGGAGGCAUCACUUGUCCUGCCAACAGCUGAACUGAGAACAAGUGGGGGAAAGAGUACAUAUUUUAGGGUUUGUAAAUCAUCAGAUUGUGAGGUUUUCUAACAAUCUUGUCUCUUUUCUGUAUUUUACUGUAUUUGCCUAACAAUCAGUGAUUUCAGAAAUAGAUCAAGAGACUGAUAUUACACGCUAGCUAAAUCAAUUUUGUAAAAACAUAAUAGCUUUUUUCAGUGCAUAAAGCAUAGGCACAAGAGAAAUGUUAAUGUAGCAGGAUUUCAGCGACAUCCUCACAAGUCACUCUAACAUUCCAUCUAAAUACUGGCUGUGCAUGUGUUUUGUUUUGCCAGUCCUGUAGAAUAACUUUGUCUUGUUCAAUUCUUUUAUCAUCUGUAGCUUGUUUACUGAAUUUUAAGUCUUGGGCGAGAUGAAUCAAGCUCAUGAAGAGAAGUUGGUUUUCAAAAGAUACAAGCUCCAGAUAACUGAGGACAAGUAAAGCACACAACAAUAUUGAAAUCACUCAGUUUUAUUGCAGCUGACUGAGACAGAGCGUGCUUUGAAGCUGGGAAAUUUCCAUUACUGAAGUGCAGGACAGUGCCUGGAUACUGCUGCUACUGCAGUUGAGAAAUAAAAGCAACUUAAUUUUACUUAACAGCAAAAUAUCAGUAUAUUAGUUUAAAUUGUUAGAAUUAUAUAAGCUUUUAAAGUUGCUGUAAAAUGGAUCCCUUCUAAAACAUUCAGAAUACAGUUUUAAACUUCUUGUAUGAAACUAAAUAACACAAAAAUGAGUUGAAAUUGUACCUGAGCUUUCAAACUAUAUCAUAUUUGUGAACAGCAAAUCUAACAAGAACUUGAUAGAUAAUACAUCCCUUACAAUGUGACAGCGACGGAAUGAUAUCCAGUGCAAAAUCAAGGCUGUUUCUGACAGAGUAGUUCUGCAAUUAAUAAUCCUUUGUGCGCCCCUUGGCACGCACAAAACAAACAUAGCAAUCUGUUUAUUAAUUUUAAGCCCAUAAGGUAUAAGCCACCAUAAGUUUCCUGCAAAUUCAGUCAGAAUGUUGAAUGGGGGAAAAUAGAAAAUACCGGGGGAAAAAGAAUGAAAUUAAUUUUGGCAUCAAGUUAUCCAGCACUUUGGGCAUGAAACUUUUAACUUCCCAACAGCAUAAGGUUACAGAGAGAUUCUCAUUUAUGCUAAGGUCACUUCACACAGUCAAAGCAGUGGCCAAUAUUUAAAUGAAAAUUAGUCUCAAGGGAUUUCGGCUGUAUUUCACCAGUUAACUCAAGCCCAGGUAGGUACUGCCUAGAAGUCAUUAGCAUCUGAUGCUCUUUAUGAAUCUAAGGGUAGUUCCCAGUGGAUCAGAGCUCAUAUCUAAGCAAUUUAAGUUUGCGUCUCAUACAUCACCAUGGUUCCUGAGUGCCUGAGAAGUUAAAAUGUAUCUUUAUGAAACAUCUUACAUGUCUUUCUUUUUUUUUCUCCCCCGCACAGAGGCUUGAGGUCUCUUUAACUAAUGCUGGGUAAAUUGUUUUAUAUACUUAAUGCCUGUAAUUUGUUUUGGUGGUGAGGGUGGCAGGUCAGGGUCAUUCUGAGGUACUCUGAAAGCAAAUGCCACACUCCUGCAGCAGAUACCGUAAAAGCUGCAUCUUCAAUGUCUCCAUGCAAAUAAUACAACUAUCACAGUGGUGGUGAUUUUAGGAGAUGUAGCUUUAAUU